rnacentral:rRNA from 1 species
GAUGAACGCUGGCGGCGUGCCUAAUACAUGCAAGUCGAGCGAACAGACGAGGAGCUUGCUCCUCUGACGUUAGCGGCGGACGGGUGAGUAACACGUGGAUAACCUACCUAUAAGACUGGGAUAACUUCGGGAAACCGGAGCUAAUACCGGAUAAUAUAUUGAACCGCAUGGUUCAAUAGUGAAAGACGGUUUUGCUGUCACUUAUAGAUGGAUCCGCGCCGCAUUAGCUAGUUGGUAAGGUAACGGCUUACCAAGGCAACGAUGCGUAGCCGACCUGAGAGGGUGAUCGGCCACACUGGAACUGAGACGCGGUCCAGACUCCUACGGGAGGCAGCAGUAGGGAAUCUUCCGCAAUGGGCGAAAGCCUGACGGAGCAGCGCCGCGUGAGUGAUGAAGGUCUUCGGAUCGUAAAACUCUGUUAUUAGGGAAGAACAAAUGUGUAAGUAACUAUGCACGUCUUGACGGUACCUAAACAGAAAGCCACGGCUAACUACGUG